GAACAAUUCCUGAGUCAAGGCAGAAAUAGGUUAUGGGACUUCAUCACUCCUGGGAAUCUUAGAAACCUGAGAAGGAAUUCUCCCUAAAGAGGACUCUUCAGUAUAAAAGAUCUCCCUGUGGGAAGAAGAGUAACCCAUUUAUCUGGCAUGUGGCAUUUGCUCCUGCUUCCAAAUGGACAGAAUUCAGUGCGGCAGGGGACUGGCUGAUGAGAUGUGGGAAGAAAAGCCUAUCCCUUCAAACCAUAACAGUCCUUUUCCCCCCAAGGUGCUUUCCUGGGGCCCUAUUUUGCCAAGCUGCCCUCUGCAGAACUGCAUAAGCCAAGUCCAGCCGGGAGGAUCUUCUGGGUACCACCUUGACCUACCAUGUCCAACAGGAAAUGUUAAUGGAGGAUUCCAGCAAAUGUACAACUGAGAGCUCCAUAAAAGGCCCAGAAACCUCUGGAAAUAAAGGUUUAGAUCACUUCAUUAGACAAACCCAGUUAAAGCUUUGGCAAGGGGUGGGGAGAACACAGAAUGAGUAAUAUCAGAGGAAAUUCAUGAACAACAGCU